GGGGCCCAACAGUGGUAACUGGGCACUGCUGGGGCUUGAACCCCCGACCUGCCGAUCAGUAACCCAGAGCCUUGACCGCUAAGCCACCACUGCUUCAGUAAUAAGAUAAGAUAGGUGAAGGUGAUCUGGGCCAUUUGAGUGAACUUACACAGAUUGUAUAUGUGAUACAGGAAGGUUGGGGAGUUCAGCUGAGUAUGUGUUUUGGUGUGUGUGUGUGUGUGUGUGUCAUAUGAUUUCAUCAUCCCACUUCAUCAGUCUCUAAUAAUGACAGACUAGUAUGCAUGCUGUGGUAGAUCACCGAGUCAUUUGAGUCAGCUGCCACACAACUUUAUGCUUUUAAAUCUAUAAGAAAAUGUCAAUGUGGAUUAUUAGGCUCCUCUAAACAAGACUGGUAUAAAAUACUUAUCAUUGUGCUUUAAUUGGAAGAGCACUGUCUAGGUAGAAGCAUUUCUGAUCAGCAUUAUUGUGGUCCUAAGAUAAAGGCUGUCCCCAUUGGAAGGCAGGUCUGGCAUACUGUAUUUUAGUCAGGCAUGUACUGCAUUUUGACCGUAGGGGGGCAGACAGGGGGCCAGACAGAUCCUCUGAGGUACUGCAUUUUGGCCAAUCAGGUCCUCUGAGGCAAUACAUUUUGGACAGACAGAUCCUCUGAGGUAAUGAAUUUUGGACAGACAGAUCCCCUGAGGCAAUGAAUUUUGGCCAAUCAGCUCCUCUGAGGUACUGCAUAUUGGCCAGACAGAUAUUCUGAGGUACUGCAUAUUGGCCAGACAGAUAUUCUGAGGUACUGCAUUUUGGCCAGACAGAUCCUCUGAGGUAAUGAAUUUUGGACAGACAGAUCCUCUCUGAGAUAUUUCAUUUUGGACAGACAGAGGCAGGUCUUCUGAGAUACUGCAUUAUUAUGUGGUGACCAAAAGACCUGUUAAAAAAAACUAUUAUAUGUAACAUUUUUAACACUAUUCCUGAUUAAGUUUUGCACAUCCUUGUCAUCUUUUCAACUAGGUUCAUGAAGGAGCUUCACCCAGGAGGCUUUCUCAGAAAGGCAGAGCUCCUAACUGCUUCUCCUAAGUUCUAAAUGAAAACUACUUCUUUGGGGAAAAUGUACUUCUUUCGAGUAAAAACUACUUAUUUGAAAUGCAUUUUGUACAUGGGCAUCAACUUGCCCAUAUAUAUAUAUAUAUAUAUAUAUAUCUAGUGUGUCCAAACUUU
ensembl:lncRNA